UUCUACCCCCUGAUGGUUGCAACAAUUGAACUUUUGGAAUUGGAUAGAUGGUGGAACUUUCUUUUGCCGUUGGUGAGUGCAGUCUGUUGUCUUACCAUUUUCUAUACCAUAAAGGAAAGACAUAGGAGUACAUCAAAGCCUUUAUAGGAAUACUGGAACAUAUUAUUAAUCUAUUAUAUGUGCAGGAAACUCGUUCUCACCAUUUCUCUUUUCGGUAACAUCUCUGCUCCGUUCCCUGAACAGUGUUAUCAAAGGCGAAAAGCGCAAAAAAGCUCUAAGGUCUAUUGGGGCUUUAAGCGCAAAGCGGAGAUAAAGCAUGGGCUUUAAUGAAAAAAGGCGCAACUAGAGAAAAAGUAAAAAUAUGUAUAUGUAAUCCAAAACCAAUAAUCAUAAGCAUAAAUAACAAAUAUAUGGACAAAGAAAUUGAAAAAAAUUUACGACAAAGUGAAAUAUCAAUUGCUUAGUGUCGCCUUUUCAGGAUCACAUUCAUUGGCAAGGAAAAGUAUGCCUUAGAGCCUUGAUGCGACAUUGAAGCGCUCGCAAAGCUAGGCGAAGUGCUCAACCUGUUUUGAGCCUCGCUUCAGGGCUUAAGCGCGCGUUUGACAACACUGUCCCUGAACUGUUUAGUAUUGCUUUUGCCUCACCUUUAAUGUGUGAGUGUGGGAUGUAAUCUUAUUUAUUUUUACUGUAAUACUUUCAAGUUUGACAAAUAUUGCAUGUAAUAGGUACAACAAGGUGAUGUUGGUGGAAGUGAUGAAGUUCAUGAAGUGCAAUUCAAUAUAAAAAGGACAGACAUGUCCAAUGGCAUGCUGAAACAAAUGAGAGCCUCAAAAACAACAUUGUUCAGAAGGCUGUUAUUACCUCUUCACUGCUUUCUCUUUUAAAUAUCUCAAGAGCUUGGAUAUGUGUGGGCUCAUCGUAUUUCAAAGCUUAGAUAGAAAGAAAGAGGUCGUGUUGUUCUGAGAUGGAAAAACAUUCAUACUGACAGCAGAGCUAUGAUUUCCUCCUUAAUACUUCUGUAAACUAUAUGCAUAGCUGAAUGGGUUGAGGAAUGUGUUAGAUUUGCUCAUUCGCAGUUGUUAACACGGGGAUAAAUUGUUCAUGAACACGUUUUUGUAAGUAGCUAUUUUUUGUAACAGGUCAUUUUUCAUGUAAUACGUGUUAGUAUUCGAUUGAAUUUUUGGAGGAGAAUAAGUUGAGGUUUAAUAGUUCUUUUAAGAGAAAUGAGUCAGGGUGAUGCAAUACAGUUGUGGCUGCUCAGUUUCUUUGCUUGACAACAAAGAGAGUACUUCGUUUGCAUUACCAAAAACCUACUUAUAUUGGUUUUGUAAAGUUUUUGCCUUAAAGUUUUAGUAGAAAAUUGUCCCUCUGCAGUUUGACAUUACCAAAAUCAAUGGCUUCCUGAGGCCUCCUUUUGAUCUCUAUUCUCCAUUUGCUAAUCAUGAAAUGAAGUUGCAAUGCAUGUAAUAGAACUUUUGAUGCCAGCAGACUGAAUUCAAUUUCCUAUUUUGUUUUGCUACACUUUCUUGAUCGCGAUCAGGGGAGAUAUUGAGCAGUAUUUCUCUGCAAGUUGUCCAUUAUUCGAUGCCUCAUAUUGCAGAAGUGAUCCUGAGAUUUAAAGCUGAAAACCUUUUAAGGUUGGAACUCAGUCUACAAUUUGAAUUGGGGUGAUGAUGACUUGGUUCUAACAUUGAUCUUUUUUUUUUUUUAGUUCUGCAUUUGCUACGUUAAAAAGUUAAGAUAGGAUAGUGGAGAAUCAACUAUUCUAUCUAGAGACAAGAAAAGGAUGAGAGCGUAAACAAAAGGAAAUAGAAAAGCAGGAAAGUGUAAACAAAAGGAAAACCAACAAGUUGGCACAAAUGGCUUAGCGAAUUUUACAUUUCUAUACACUAUUUCAAUCUUUAUUACCCCCUACUCAAAUUUUAAUAUAAUUAUAUAUUAUAUACCCAGUUACCAAUUAUGUACAUUUUUAGGCAUUUAAUGAUAAUAAUUAGUGUCCUAAGAUCACUCUAACGCCACUCCCCCACGUUUCUCUCUCCACAAACCUUCCGUAUCUUGCACUCACCCACGUUUCUCUCUCCACAAACUUCAGUAUCCUUCCAUUAACGCCUAUUUCCACUCUUCUUCAAAAAUCCGUCUAUAUUUUAUCCUUCUUCUUCAAAAAUCCCUCUCCAUUUUUAUAGAUUCAAGCUCUAAAUACUCUACCACACACCUCCAUUAACGUAUGUUGCUUGCUUAACUUUCAAUGAAGAAGAAAACACUUUCGAAGACCAGCCCUAAUUCCAGUAAGAGAGCAGCAAUUUCACCAAUGACAGCCAUUAAAAAGCUUGGAAGCUUUGAAUUCGAAUUUGGGUUUUUUAAAAACCUAUUAUUUGUUUGGAUUGAGUAUUGUUGCAAACAAUUGGGAAUAUUGUUUGGAGUUUAUAUCUCAUUUUUUAGGGUGUUUUGGUGAAUAUUAAACUUGAUUUUGGUUGAAUUUCAGAUUGAAACUCGAAGAAGAAGAAGACAUGACAUACAUUAUACUUACGAAAUUGUAGUAAAGUUGUAGUAAAAUUAUAGAAAAANNNNNNNNNNNNNNNNNNNNNNNNNNNNNNNNNNNNNNNNNNNNNNNNNNNNNNNNNNNNNNNNNNNNNNNNNNNNNNNNNNNNNNNNNNNNNNNNNNNNNNNNNNNNNNNNNNNNNNNAAGCUUUGAAUUCGAAUUUGAAUUUUUAAAAACCAUUAUUUGUUUGGAUUAGGUGUUGUUUCAAACGAUUGGGAAUAUUGUUUAGAGUUUAUAUCUCAUUUUUAUAGUGCUUUGGUAAAGAUUAGACUUGAUUUUGGCUGAAUUUCAGAUUGAAAUUCGAAGAAGAAGAAGAAGAAGAAGAAGAAGAAGAAGAAGAAGAAGAAGAAGAAGACAUGGAAUACAUUAUACUUACGAAAUUGUAGUAAAGUUGUAGUAAAAUUGUAGAAAAAUUAUAUUUUGUUGUUUACAUAUAUUUUUUUUUUAAAUAUUGUAUGAAAGUUGAACAAUAUUGUAUAAAAAUUGUAUUUAAGUUGUAUGAUAUUGUAGUUGUAUAUAACUGGGUAGAAAUAACAUAUGAAAGUUGUAGAUAGGUUAUAUAAUAUAUAAUUAGUUGUAUGAAAUUUAUUUUUACUAUGUAUAAAUUAGAUACAAAAUAUACAAAAGACAUAUUGUAUAAAAAUUAUAUUUUAGUUGUAUGAUAUUGUAGUUAUAUUUAACUAUGUAGAAAUAAUGUAUGAAAAUUGUAGAUAAGUUGUAGAUUAGUUGUGCUUUUACAUUGUGCUUUUAAGCUCUUUGCCUAAACGUGUUAAAACUGUUUAAAACAUUACUUAAUUUCAUGAAAUACUUUGCAACUUAAUUGAGAUCGAUUUCUCAUAAAAUGUAAACUUACCUAUCUUCAGCAUUACAUGCCAGAAGGAUUCCAUCUAAUUUUGCAGGAAAAAGUAUAACCAUUGUUGAGUAUGAUUUGUAAAAUAAUGCCCUCGAGAUAUAUUCUAUCCAACUAGGGCUGUCCUAUUAAUUAUUACUCCUACCUAAAGAAAGUGAAAAGCAUAGGAUAUAAUUCUUUGAAAAUGGGUGCCCUUCUAAUUUUGUAUUUUGAAUAGCAACUUCAACAAGUUCUUAAUUGGAUAAUAAUUAAAUAGACUUGAUGGACAGGGAAUAGAGUCUGAUUCCCUUUUAAGGAUUUAAAUUAGAAUUUUGGUUUUAUCCUGAAUCCUGAUAAAAAGAACUUGUAAAAAGUUGUCCCCAAAUAUUAACCUAAUCUUCCUGUUAAUUAUAGAGGAAUUCUUACUAAAUUCCAACGUAAAACUGAAGGGUUAAAAAGAAGAAUAAGAAUAAGAAAAAGGAUCAGAAGAAAUAACACAAAAUUGUAAGUACUAUUAAGACAUGGUUACGUGAUCAACCAGAUGAAAGAGUUGUCCACUGACUUGAUCACUAAAUUGCUACAAGGGUGGAAGAUCCGGAGAGAAAAGGGGAAAGAGGAAAGAAAAAAGGAAAAAAGUAUAACUAAAUCCAUUGAUUGAAGACACUAAUAAUGAAUUGGGAGCCUUUUAAGGUGGAAUGUAUAUAUUUUGUAAAUAAAACUUGUUUAGGUCGGGUAAUUAACUAAACGUGGACAUUUUUGAUAAUAAAAUUUCAUAUAGUGUAUAGAAAGGUAAAAAUCCCUAUACUUUUUUUCUUCUUAGUGGGCCGUUAGAAGGAAAUUUUAGGAAUAAAUGCGGGAAAAUGACAUUGUACGCUUUCAAAAUAAUAGCGUAAAGAGAAAUAUUUUUUUGUUUAUAUAUAUAUAUAAAUAUAAAUAAUUUUUGGUGCGGGCUAAAAGUGAUAAUACAAAUAAAUGCUAGAAACGUCAUUAUCUAAGUACAACAAUCGCCACCCUUUCCUUUAAUUAAUACUCUAUUAGUUUAAAUAUUACAAAUGUGUCAGUCCUUGGUUUUAAAACUAAUGAGUCCUUUUUGUUUUAGUUUUUUUUAUAUUUUAUUUUUGAUAACAUGCUCUUAUAGUUAUAAUAAUAUUAUAAUAUUUAAAAUCACAUGUUUUAAAAGCUUUUUUUCCUUAAAUUUUGUGCCAAGGUACAUAAAUAAAAUGAAAUGGAGAAAGUAGUAGUAGAUGAUGUUUUAUUUUCUUUUUUAAGGGAAAGGAAAAAAUGGAUUGCAUGAAAGGAGAUGUCAAACUUGACAAUGUGAAGAUGGGGACGGACGUUGAGAUAUUUGUCGAAAAACAUUACUUUGUACGCAAUUUAAAGAUGUUUGUCCAAUUUAAUAUCCACAUACAAGUUAGAACCUUAAAGAAUUCAGUGGCGUAGAAUAUUGGUAAAUAUCAAAUAAUUAGGCUAAAAAAAACCCCCACAUUUCCCAUCAACAGAAUUUAUGCUAUGACCAUUCGACUUUUGCAAAUAUGGAUUAAAUGGACCCAUUUGAUUCUGGAACCUGGAUUUGGAUAACAUUUCAAAAACCUUUCCUUGUGUAUGUGGCAAGCCAAUCCUUAAUACUUACUAGGAUAACACUUUUAUUUUGGGAGGACUACAUUUUCUUUGGUUUGGAGUUGAAAUAUUUAUUUUUCUCUUCUGCCCUCAAUUUUUUCUACCAGCACAAAGAAGAGCGUAUACCUUUAAUAUCAAUACGCGAAUAUGUUGGGCGUGCGAACAAAGUCCCACAUUAGUAGUUAAAAAGAUUGAGAGACUACAUGUAAGGUGUAGACUUUUUUUUAA
rnacentral:lncRNA from 1 species